rnacentral:rRNA from 1 species
AUUGAACGCUGGCGGCAGGCCUAACACAUGCAAGUCGAGCGGUAGAGAGGUGCUUGCAUCUCUUGAGAGCGGCGGACGGGUGAGUAAUGCCUAGGAAUCUGCCUAGUGGUGGGGGAUAACGUUCGGAAACGGACGCUAAUACCGCAUACGUCCUACGGGAGAAAGCGGGGGAUCUUCGGACCUCGCGCCAUUAGAUGAGCCUAGGUCGGAUUAGCUAGUUGGUGAGGUAAUGGCUCACCAAGGCGACGAUCCGUAACUGGUCUGAGAGGAUGAUCAGUCACACUGGAACUGAGACACGGUCCAGACUCCUACGGGAGGCAGCAGUGGGAAUAUUGGACAAUGGGCGAAAGCCUGAUCCAGCCAUGCCGCGUGUGUGAAGAAGGUCUUCGGAUUGUAAAGCACUUUAAGUUGGGAGGAAGGGCAGUAAGUUAAUACCUU